CCUACGUGAGGCAGCAGUGGGGAAUAUUGCACAAUGGGGGAAACCCUGAUGCAGCGACGCCGCGUGAGUGAAGAAGGAAUUCGUUAUGUAAAGCUCUAUUAGCAGGGAAGAAAAUGACGGUACCUGAGUAAGAAGCCCCGGCUAAAUACGUGCCAGCAGCCGCGGUAAUACGUAGGGGGCAAGCGUUAUCCGGAUUUACUGGGUGUAAAGGGAGCGUAGUCGGCAAUGCAAGUCUGGAGGGAAAGGCGGGGGCUCAACCCCCGGACUGCUGUGGAAACUGUACGGCUGGAGUGCAGGAGAGGUAAGUGGAAUGCCUAGUGUAGCGGUGAAAUGCGUAGAUAUUAGGAGGAACACCAGUGGCGAAGGCGGCUUACUGGACUGUAACUGACGUUGAGGCACGAAAGCGUGGGGAGCGAACAGGAUUAGAUACCCCUGUAGUC
rnacentral:rRNA from 1 species